ensembl:lncRNA
UUAGGUUUUCUGAGGUAGCAGUGUAGUCUGUGGAAGAGAACUAAAUUUAUGAGGAUGCUGACAGUAAUGUAAGAAAUCUGACAGUAUUCACCAUCCUGUCCUGCUGUAAAGGAGACCAUUUUCAAAAUUAUUCCAAAAUUUGUGUGAUGAAGGAGGAACAUGAGAAGGGGAAAAAGUACUUUCAUGCAAAUUUGUUACGCAACGUGGACAUCCACUUUCUCAUGAGAAAAGGAGGUACCACCACGGGCUUACAGUAACCAAGGAAGGACCCUUUGACAGCGAGCUGCUGCCGCUGAGAGGAGGUCCUGCGGAGGAGAGAAGCUGAGGGCUGCAGCGGUGCGCAACGUAGGGCAGCCGAGGGCUCACUGCCCCCUCUGAGGUUCAAAUUAAUGCAGCUGAUACUGAUUCAACGAAACGGGAUCUGAUGAGCUACAGCAGAAACGGGUCGGCGUUGUUCCCCUGCUCGUUCUGUCGACUGCCGGCAGGUGGCUGUCGGGCUCAGGGAAUGGUUUCAGCUGCAGUCCGGUAGUGCUGCCGGGCGAGGCGUGAUACCGGCACCGCUGUGACUUAAAUUCCUGCAAGGAGACUAACUACUGACCCACAGUACUGACCAUGAUCACAUUUUAUGGCAGCUUUUGCACAACUGUAAAUGCAUUUUCCUGAUCGUGAUUCAGUGAAAUGUCAAAUAUUUUAACGAGCCUAAAAAUAUGUGGUGCUGAUCCUUCACUCCUCAUUUUUCUGCAGCUUGAAUUAAUACCGUGACAGACACUCUGUGUUUCAGUAUUGGUACAGACAUUAAUCUGUUAUGCUCUGCUUGAAAGCAGCUGGCUGAUCAAUGCAGGUGGAAGUUGCUAUGCAUGCCUUGGGUUAUUAUCUUGGCACUAAUAAUCUUUAUGCCUGUAGAUAAUGUAGUGUUUGUGAAAUAGCUUAUUGAUCAGAACUGACCAUUCCUAUUCCCCUAACUCCUCCUGUUAGACACUUACCUUCUUUUGAUUCUUUUAAUAUAGGGAAAUGCACGUGGAGUUGGUGGGAGAAUGGAGAAGACUUACAUUAGGUGGAGAUCUCAAGGUAGCGCAGCCAUGGUGGUGGCAGUAUACAGGGAGAUAAUUCAAGCAUUAACAAGUUCAAAGUAAUAUUUUAAGAUCAUGACUUACAGGCAUUCCCUGAUGUUCUUAUAAUAAUUGUCCAGCCUUCAGCUUGGGCUGCAGUUGUUUGUUAUCAAAAGAAACUGCCGAAUUACCACGAGUCUCUCUUCACUGAAUAAAAUCAGAGGAUGGUUGUGGUUGGAGCAUUGCCAGUUUAUGAUGAUUGACACCACUUUCCCUUUGCUACAUAUGGUGUGGAAAGAUGUGCUCUUAACUGGCAAGAAGAGCGGACACAGGAUUUCAUAAAAGCAGACUGAAGUUCUUUUUCUCCUGCUUACAGCUGGUGUAAGUUGUGCCCUUUUAUCCUGUUAUCUGAUCACGGCAGUGCCUUUGGUUUGUUGGCUGGGGAGAAAAAAUACACUUCUGCUAUUAAAAAAAACAAAAGAGCAUUUCAGUACGGUCUGGAAAUGAUGUAGGAGGGGGGUGCUGUUCUUCCCACAAAAAUUCAGAGGUAGGGGAAUAUUUAGAAUAAGGUCACUAAGCUGUGGCCAGGGCUGUGCUACUCAGUGCAGUCGUACUUCUGCCUUGGAGCAAAGGUGGUGUGGUCUGAUUCAGCUGGUUUUCUGCUUCAGAAUUUCAGAAAAGGGUGAGCCUAGUAAGUGUAGUAUUUUGCCUAACAGUUGAAAUAGGAACGCAAUGGCAGUAAGCCCCUAGCCAGAUGCAUAUGGCUAUGGAUGUGUUGGAAGCUGCUGGGUGCUGCUGACCGUGUUGGGGACCGUGUGGGUACAGCAAUGUGAAGAAAGGUGUCAGGGUUCCUUUGUCUCUAAUACUUAGCUGUGAAAUAACGAUCAUUUGCUCACCACAGAGAGGUGUUGUUAAUACUAAUAUUUUUAGAAAUUAGAGCACUUGGAGUGCUGACGAUGGAGGGAAAUGCAUGUGUAAAUAAAGGGAUGAAGCUAAAUUCUUCUGGUUUCAAAGCAAAAAGAGACAAUGAGCUCCUGCAAUAUUUCUUUGUGGAGUAAAAAUCCCAUUUUGGUAUGACAGAGACUUUUGGCUGGCAGAGAAAAGGAUUAGUGGCACCUCACACUGAGAAGGGAGGUAUUUGGAAAUAAUUUGGCCACGCUGCUUUUUGUGACCAUGAGAAGUUGAACUGCUGCUCUGUUAGGAUGCACGCCUGUGGGGAGUGCCAGGCAGAGCCCUGCCACCCCGAGUUAAUCAUGCCGGUUGUGGCUCUGCCAAGAUAACAUCCUGUGGUACACUUGUAAACCCAACUAGCUUCUGCUGAGAGGUGAACAGGAUUAAUGAAACAUAUACCAGUUGUAAUAAAUAGAGUGAUGUAGGUUUAGCCUAGACUAAAAUUGGGCAGUUUUCUGUUAAAGCCUGUGUAAUUACUCAAUGAUGGGGAAAAUCAGCUAAAUGCAGCUGGGAAUCUACUUCAUUGUUAUCAUGUUCCAGACAGUGAUAAUGGUGUACCAGGAUAUCAGAACAAUGCAAUUUGUCAUGGAGCCUUUGCUGCAUGCAGUAAUUUCUUCAAUCUGUCCUGAAUGUAUUUCCUUUCUAUAGUCCAUUGGGUGAGACUCUUUCAAACUUUUUUUUUUUUCCUAAAGAUUCGCGUUUUCAGAGAUGCAACUAGGAGGGAAAAAAUCUGCAGGAUAAUAUCUGUUUGGUUAUGUCUAGGGCUACUGCCAGUUUCACUUUGUGAUAAUGGAAACGGUGUCCAAAUCCCUGAUGACUGACAACAGCGUUUCUGCCAGCAUCCUGCAGAGAUGCAGCGGGUGCUCUGCAUCCCUCACAGCCAGAGAGGGGAGCAGUAUGGGCAAGUAUCACUGGGCAGGGCUGCACCUGGGAUGCUGGCUCCUAGCUGAAGUGAAUGUGAAUGCAUACCUGUGUAUACAUGUAUCUCUUGGUCUGGAGGAACUGCAGCUUGAAAGCAAGCAAAAAUCAGGGACCAGCUGUGAAGUGUUGUUUUUCAAUGCAAAUACACAGCCUCUGAAACACGCUUUUAACAAAUAGGCUUUGCAUUUGAAUUUCUGGAAUCUUGUAGUAUGAAAAAAAAAAACCAAAAAACCCUGCGUUGGGUCAUUAUGAAAGCCUUUAUCCUGUGCAGCACAGGGCCCACACUGCCUUCAUUUGAUGUAUUAAAGUGGUCCCAAUGAGAUGGAGAAAAAUGUGCCUCCCCAGCAGCCAUGGAGGCCCCCACUGGCUCUCCAUUUCCCUGCAGGGCUGCACGUGCUCAGCUCUCCCCAUUCUGUGGCCCUACAAUUCUGUGUGGCACAAAGGCUGCUGUAGUAAUGCCUGUGCCAUUUUCCUUAACGCUCCCAUACAGGUGCGUGUGAUCAGGGAGCACAGCACGGCACUGGCCCAGGCACGCAGUGCUUAGAAGCGAUUUGUUCUUCCUGAGCACUGUGCACCACCAUGGACGUACCGAGCAGUUCUGUCCUGCAGUGCUGCAGGGCCGGAGCCCUCAGUGCAGCCAGCGCAGUGUUUUCAGGUGAGCACAACUUGCAGGCGGUUUGGGUUACCUUAUGUGUGCCACGGGCGUGCCCGGGUGUGGGGUGAUGUGGGCACCGCCUCAGAACACCCUGGAAGAGGAGAAACUGCUUUCCUGUGCGAGCAGUUGUGGCGGCUAUCAAUCGGUCCUCGCCUUCCUUCCAACAGCCAUCUUGGUGGUAAAAAUUUAUCCGAGGAGGAUUUAUCACCCCUCCUUUUCCAGGUGCCGUCGUGCAACCGUGUGAAUCAUUGACCCUCUCCGUGGCGGAUGGGAAGCGCGGGGCUGCCCUCACGGGGACAGCGGCGCACCGCGCGGGUUUAUCA